GGCAGCGUAGCUCAGCUAGUAGAGCAACGGACUGUGAAUCCGGAGGUCGCGGGUUCGACUCCCGUCGCUGUCA
rnacentral:tRNA from 1 species